AAGUCGUAACAAGGUUUCCGUAGGUGAACCUGCGGAAGGAUCAUUAUCGAACAACAAGCCUAUGAUGCCGGGGCUCACACUCCGGAUGUUCAGGGCUUUAACGGGUGUGUUAGCGGCCACCAGAGUAACCCUCUGGGCGGUUUAGGGUUCAACCGAACCCUUUCACGCGCACACUACCGAUAUCCUUAUUCUACUCGUACCUCUCGUUCUCCUUCGGUGGGGCAACCUGCCGUUGGAAAUACAAAACUCUUUUUUGCAUCUAGCAUUACCUGUUCUGAUACAAAUAAUCGUUACAACUUUCAACAAUGGAUCUCUUGGCUCUG
rnacentral:misc_RNA from 1 species